UGGGAUGUGAUGUUCAUGUUCUGCAAUGUACCUAUAGCAUAGGUACAGUUUCAGAGAGUACCAAAAAAUCAAUGAAAAUUGGCAAAGAAGGAGCAUGACUUUUGGGAUUUCUGCGAUGUGGGGCUGUUAGAUAUGUGAUUUGUGUUGUAAAAUAACUGGGAUAUGUGCGAAUAUUGAGCUGCACGUAAAGUAGAUGAGACACAGUAUUUAACGAGGUUCGGAUAUGCCUACAUCCCCGGAGAGCAGCAGCAGUAACUUUUCCACUAUGUAAAAUAAUAGGGCUACAACUUUGUGUUUACAAUAUGUAUGGCUCACUCAAUUUUCUCUCUUGGAGAAUUUCUCUCUUGCUCUCUUUCCUCUCAACUCACUCACCCUCAUUCUUCCUUCUCUUCCUCUUCUAUAUGUGUGUUUACAAGCAAAUAUAAUGCCUAUUUAUAGGCAAAGCAAAUGGCUCUUAAUGGAGACAUAAUGAUUUAUCCCCAACAUCAUUAUCCCAUCUUUUGACUAAUACCUACUAACUUUAUCUCCACUAAUUCCCACCUAAUUUUACCUAUGUGGGCUUCAUUUAUUUUAUAACACUCCCCCUUGAAGACCACAUGUGAUAUGUUAGUUGCAUCAUUAAAGACUUGCUUGGAGAAAACCUAGUGAGGUAGAAAACUGAUGGAAGGAAGAGUACAACAAUUUGUAUAGCAUACUUCUGGAUGCUCCCCCUGAUUAAUAUCUUCUCCUGAUGUCUUCAUGACUAUCUUUUGGAGUGAGAAUCUUUCGGAGUGAGUGGAGGAUGUAGCCAUUAACAAUUCUCGUAGUUGAGUAAGUAAAUAUAUUUCCAGUGAGCUAUCUCUAUGUAAAUCAUAGAAAUUUUCAGAGUCCGCGUUUUCAACAAAACUUGGGCUAUAUGCCCGUACAUGGUGUUAUGCGGAGAUAGCAUCAAAUAUACCUCACAUCAUCCCAAAAUGAUGGUGAUGGAGUUGAGCCCUAUCUUGAAAAUAUGAUGUCCGGUCCAAUAUACUUUCGGAAAAUCACUAAAGUAUCCAACGGAUAAUCCUCAUAAAAAUGCUUCAAUACUUUCUUAGUAUAAGCAAGAAUCUCGUUGGCAUAAUGCUCGAUCCUUAAGUCGAGACAAAUAUUUCUUGAACUCUUCAGAAGCUUUAAUGUGUUGCAAACACAUUAUAAUCCAUGUACUCACUGAGACAAUUUAUGCACAUUAGUAUUGAGUACAGAUUUUGUACUUCAGGCACAUGUCCUUCAGGGACUUGCUUCAUGCAAUUUCAAUCCUUUCAAGGAUUUUGUUUAAAGAAAUUAAACUUUAUGACACAUUAUAUAGCUUUAAUCCAGCUAUUUAUACAUCUUUAGGGAAUCGCUUCUGGCAAUAUGCUCUGUGCAUUUAAUACCCCUUAAAGAUAAUAUGUUGGUCUCCGUAAAUGUGCAAUAUAGGGGCACAAUUGAAUCUAUAAAUAUGGAGAAAAUCCAACGUUCCUUAUUUAUUCCAAAAAUAUUGUGUCAUACAAAGUAGGUAUAUUCCCUUCUAUUCCGAACACCCAAGUAUAACUUUCAAUAUUAACAUCUUUUGGGGUUCGUACUGUGGGUUUGUUCUUUCACGUUCAUUCUCAUCUAUAAUGGGAUUACCUCAUUCCAUUUUGGCCAAUGAUAUUGUCGACAUUUAAUAAUUGAACGUGGUUCCAAUUAACACAGCCCAUUGAUGAUUUGAGUAGCUACUCCAAAGCCAAAAAUUGUCAUUCAUCAAUUCAUGAUCCCAUCAUUCUCAUUUGCACGUGCAUGCAUCAAUUAUAAGCAUUUCUUUGCUCUUGGGUACCCAAGCCACUUCAGGGGGCUUUAAUUAUGUGAGAAUGUGGAUUAUAACCUCCAUUGGAGCGUUAUUUAGCAGUAGGGAGUGGAUAAUCUCCAUUUAGGGAGUUGGAACAUUUAGAACCCAUAUAUCUGUCAUGCUGAAGGCAUGCCACAAAUUAAUACAUUCAUGUCAAUUAAUUGCUGGGACCUUAACCCAUAUUAUGGGACUUUAACCCAUAUAAUUUGCUACGCAUUAGGCGUGCAUAAUAUCAGUAUUGACAUGUCAAAGGAUUGUCCUUUCGGGACUUCAAUCCACAUCAUUUGCUACGCAACAGGCGUGCAUCAUAUUGAUCACUGCUAUACCCAUAUUCUAUUCUUAUGGGACUUUAAUCUGUGCAGUGUAUUAUCAAUGUAUCCAACUUGCAAUCUGUAAAAUUUGCAUUAAUAAUUCAUGGAUACAUACAAGCCAUUCUUUUGGAACAGACUUAUCUCCCCAUUUGGUUACCUUUCAAGAUAAAAUAUCAAAUAAGUAUAUAAGCAUAAAAUAACACAAGUAUUGCUUACAUCCUUAGGUGGGAGAAACUUUUCUUAAGUAUCAUUCAAGCUCAUAUCAGCCCAGUAAAUAUAAUGUAGCGCUUGAUGAUCUAGUUAUAUCCUGCAAGAGCAAAAUCACAACUCUUUUCUCUGUCAAAAAUAAAUAACCCUCAAAGUUAGGAUCACUUUAUGGAUUCUUUCUUCAGAUGUUCAUUCUAAAGAAAUAAAAUCUCUUAUGAACAGAGAGUUAUAAAAAGAGAAAAAAUGCAAAAAUAAUGUGAUAUUGAUUGCAAGGUAAGGUAAGCAAUCAAGGAAGGAAGCUGGUGGGAGCAAACAACAAGUUCUCAUUUCUUCUAGUCUAAAAGAACUUCCGGAGAUUAGAGCAUAAGGUUGCCUUUACAGUUCCCUGAUGUGGCGGGAACGUGAUCAGGGAUAGUCUCGCUUCCUGAAUGGAUGAUCAGAGAUAGUCUUGCUUCUCGGGCAUAUUAAGUGCUCACUGAUAAGAAAAACAAGUAGAUAUCGCAUCACUAGGUAUGGAGAAAACUGGAUGUCUUCUGCAAAGAAAAUUUCUUUAGUAUCACAUUUAUACACAAAUACAAUGAAUAGGUAGAACCGGUGAACUUCAAAUUAACCAUAAGAAAAUUGCGAGAUUCUCGGGAUACUUUUGAAAAAGUAGCUCCGUGAAAUCCGCAAAGCAAGAUCGGCUUUUGACGAAAAUAAUACUUUGAAAACGCCGAAAGUGCCGACAAACAUUAAUGGAGGCCACGUGAAGUUUUGGAAUCUGGAAAGAAAAAGAGAAUAUGGGGAUCCGAAAAGAUAUUGGGAUCCUGAAAAACUGUAGCCAUAUUUCCUCUUAUAGAUAUUGCCUUUGCAAAACUUGGAGCAACUGCGUUUCAACUUAACUUCCUUCAUUUUCUGAAACUUUAGUUUUCUUAAGACUUUCUUCGAAACCUUCUUAAAAAUGGCUUCCUCUUCUUCCUGCCCAGAUUAUUUCAAUUUAAAUGAUACUCCCACAACAACCAGUGACGCCAAAGUUUGGCGUCCAUCCUUUGUAUCCCAAAAUCGUCAUCUCACAGUUAAUGAUUCUGUGAUGAUGAAUGAUGCUACUGCUGUCAUAGUAGCUAGGAAUUUCAUUAUUCCAAUGGAUGAAAUGUUGUUGACAGGGAGAUCAGAGGAAGAGGCUAUUGAUGACUCAAUGGCUUUUAGCAUUCAGAGUGCUGCUUCUGUUUCUAACAUGGCUGAUCGUUUGCGUGCUAGAGCAAACGAGGUUCAGAAUUUAACAACUGAAAAUUCGUCUCUCCAAAGAAUACUUCAUGAGUCUCAACAGGAGGUUGAGAAACUUAAAGAAGAGAAUAAUGCCUUGUUGAAACUGGUGAGUUCGUACUCUGUUGAUACACUGAGAAGGCUAGACAUGCUGCAGGUCUCCAAUGAAAGAAUUUUGGGAGACCACGAGAGGCUCAUGGCUAAGCUUAAGAGGCGCCGUCCUCUUCCUUCAGAGACUUCUAGAACAUAAUGUAUUUUUAUAGAUUUUACAGGGCCUGCACCUUUAUUGCAGGAAAAAAUCUAUCUGUUGUAUGUUCCUGUAAUAAUAAUUGCGCACAUUCUUAAACUUGCAUCUGUGGUUUUUACGUCUUUUCAAAAUGACGGUUUGGAACCUUGUGCCUUAUAGGUUCAAAUAACCACAUCGACUCUCCCAAAUUUCAUAUUUCAACGUAUGGAACUUUUGGCCUGGGCUAAACAUAAACUCAGAAUUUAUUUGCCCUUUUCAAAUGGACAUGAAAUAUGAAUUGAGUAAGAGCCAUGAUAAUAUCACAAUAUAGUAGUGAAGAGCAUUAACUACUAUAUACCCACAACCUCAAGUUCGGGAUUUCUCAUAUAUUUGAAUCCAUGUGCUUCCGGCCCAGAUAUAACAAAAUAUGUGGGGAGUCUCAAUUCAUCAUUUAAGGUUUCACGGUGUAUUCUUAACAACCGAAAUUCACAAAAUAUAUUUCUUCCUUGAGGUGUCGAUUAUAGCAAAAUCGAACUUUAUUAAAUUCAUCAUCUUCUUAUGCCAAAGAAAUAUGUGGCGUGCCACAAUCUGCAAUAAUACCUCAAGGGUUGUCUAUUUAACUGUUGGAAUUUUAGGUUCUCAACACUGUUAAAUUUUGAACUUCAUGCCAAAAUCACAUAUUCGCAUGGUAUGGACAUUCAAUCCCCUUAGAUUUUGAACUUCGGGCCAAAAUCACAUAUUCUCAUGGUAUGGACAUUUUUACAAUUUUCUGUACAUAUUUCUGGACUUCAAGCCCUUACAUAAUUGUCCAUAUUUUGAGGAACUUCUGGCAUAUCAUUUAAUUGCUCAUCCAUGAGUUUAAGGAACUGCAGGUUCCCUUUUGAAUAGUGGCAGUUUACCCAAAAUGGUAAAUAUUUAUGCAUACAUCACUAUUCAUGUAUACGGCACUAUUCAUGUGUACAGUACAUUUGCCAAUACAGUUAUUUUCAUGUGUACGGCACUAUUAACCAAUAUAAUACUGUUACAUCAUUUAAGGAACCCAAUGUCCUUAUUUACAUAUCAAGAAUCAAGGACCCUCAAGUCCGAUCACAUGUUUACAAAUAUAGUACUGGAGAGACUGCCAGCUCUCAUAUCAAUAUCAUCAUCAAGGAUCUUCAAGUCCUGAUGUAGUUGUAUGAUGAGGAUCAAGAAACUUCUAGUUUUGAUCUGUAUCCUUGUAAAAAAAAAAACUCAUCAUACCACACAAUUAAUCCAUAAAAUAAAUUGUUUGUAAAUUAAAUUAUUGGUAAAUGAAUUGCUUGUAUGGACGAUAAACCCGCACCAUACGUUAAAUAAAAGUAAAUGUGCGGUAAAGUAAAUUCAUAAAGUAUGAGGGUUAAUUCCUCAUCAUACUUUAAGUAAAAGUAAAUGUGCGGUAAAGUAAAUUCAUAAAGUAUGAGGGUUAAUUCCUCAUCAUACUUUAAGUAAAAGUAAAUGUGCGAUAAAAUAAAUUGCUUGCUAUAUGGACGUUAAUUCCGCACCAUAUCUUAAAUAAAAUUAAAUGUGCGGUAAAGUAAAUUCAUAAAGUAUGAGGGUCAAUUCCUCAUCAUACUUUAAGUAAAAGUAAAUGUGCGAUAAAAUAAAUUACUUGCUAUAUGGACGUUAAUUCCGCACCAUAUCUUAAAUAAAAUUAAAUGUGCCGUAAAGUAAAUUCAUAAAGUAUGAAGGUUAAUUCCUCAUCAUACUUUAAGUAAAAGUAAAUAUGCGGUAAAGUAAAUUCAUAAAGUAUGAGGGUUAAUUCCUCAUCAUACUUUUAAAUAAAAAGAAAGGCGUGGACGAUAAUCCUGCGCCACCCUUUUAAAUAAAUAUUGUCGUAUGGGUAAUAAAACUACACCAUACAAUAAUUAAAAUAAAUAAGGGGUUAAAACCACCACCGAAUAAAAUAAGAAAAAUGUUAGUAUUAGUAACGGUCUCCCACUGAUAAUAUGUUUAGUAUUACCAAGGGUCCAUUUUUGUUAGUGGUUAGUAAUAUAAAAGUGAAUAGAUAUAGCAUAUUAUAUUACCAUCAACUUUUCAUAUAUAUAUAUAUAUAUUAUAUACAAUGGUUAGUAGUAUAAAUAAUAGUGCAGCACAAAAAUUAUACCUGAGAGCUUCUCGUGCUGAUAACGUGUUGUAAAAUGACUGGGAUAUGUGCGAAUAUUGAGCUGCACGUAAAGUAGAUGAGACACAGUAUUUAAUGAGGUUCGGAUAUGCCUACAUCCCCGGAGAGCAGCAGCAGUAACUUUUCCACUAUGUAAAAUAAUAGGGCUACAACUUUGUGUUUACAAUAUGUAUGGCUCACUCAAUUUUCUCUCUUGGAGAAUUUCUCUCUUGCUCUCUUUCCUCUCAACUCACUCACCCUCAUUCUUCAUUCUCUUCCUCUUCUAUAUGUGUGUUUACAAG
rnacentral:lncRNA from 1 species